CAAGGCGAACCGGGGGAACUGAAACAUCUAAGUACCCCGAGGAAAAGAAAUCAACCGAGAUUCCCCCAGUAGCGGCGAGCGAACGGGGAGGAGCCCAGAACCUGAAUCAGCGUAUGUGUUAGUGGAAGCGUCUGGAAAGUCGCACGGUACAGGGUGAUAGUCCCGUACACAAAAAUGCAUAUGUUGUGAGUUCGAUGAGUAGGGCGGGACACGUGACAUCCUGUCUGAAUAUGGGGGGACCAUCCUCCAAGGCUAAAUACUCCUGACUGACCGAUAGUGAACCAGUACCGUGAGGGAAAGGCGAAAAGAACCCCGGCGAGGGGAGUGAAAUAGAACCUGAAACCGUGUACGUACAAGCAGUGGGAGCACCUUCGUGGUGUGACUGCGUACCUUUUGUAUAAUGGGUCAGCGACUUAUAUUUUGUAGCAAGGUUAACCGAAUAGGGGAGCCGUAGGGAAACCGAGUCUUAACUGGGCGAAUAGUUGCAAGGUAUAGACCCGAAACCCGGUGAUCUAGCCAUGGGCAGGUUGAAGGUUGGGUAACACUAACUGGAGGACCGAACCGACUAAUGUUGAAAAAUUAGCGGAUGACUUGUGGCUGGGGGUGAAAGGCCAAUCAAACCGGGAGAUAGCUGGUUCUCCCCGAAAGCUAUUUAGGUAGCGCCUCGUGAACUCAUCUUCGGGGGUAGAGCACUGUUUCGGCUAGGGGGUCAUCCCGACUUACCAAACCGAUGCAAACUCCGAAUACCGAAGAAUGUUAUCACGGGAGACACACGGCGGGUGCUAACGUCCGUCGUGAAGAGGGAAACAACCCAGACCGCCAGCUAAGGUCCCAAAGUCAUGGUUAAGUGGGAAACGAUGUGGGAAGGCAUAGACAGCCAGGAUGUUGGCUUAGAAGCAGCCAUCAUUUAAAGAAAGCGUAAUAGCUCACUGGUCGAGUCGGCCUGCGCGGAAGAUGUAACGGGGCUAAACCAUGCACCGAAGCUGCGGCAGCGACGCUUAGGCGUUGUUGGGUAGGGGAGCGUUCUGUAAGCCGUUGAAGGUGACCUGUGAGGGUUGCUGGAGGUAUCAGAAGUGCGAAUGCUGACAUAAGUAACGAUAAUGCGGGUGAAAAACCCGCACGCCGGAAGACCAAGGGUUCCUGUCCAACGUUAAUCGGGGCAGGGUGAGUCGACCCCUAAGGCGAGGCUGAAAAGCGUAGUCGAUGGGAAACAGGUUAAUAUUCCUGUACUUGGUGUUACUGCGAAGGGGGGACGGAGAAGGCUAGGCUAGCCGGGCGACGGUUGUCCCGGUUUAAGCAUGUAGGCGGAGUGACUUGGUAAAUCCGGUUGCUUAUCAACGCUGAGGUG
rnacentral:rRNA from 1 species